AAGAAAGCUUGCUUUCUUUGCUGGCGACCGGCGCACGGGUGAGUAACACGUAUCCAACCUACCCUUUACUCGGGGAUAGCCUUUCGAAAGAAAGAUUAAUACCCGAUAGCAUAAUGAUUCCGCAUGGUUUCAUUAUUAAAGGAUUCCGGUAAAGGAGUGGGGAUGCGUUCCAUUAGGUUGUUGGUGGGGUAACGGCCCACCAAGCCUUCGAUGGAUAGGGGUUCUGAGAGGAAGGUCCCCCACAUUGGAACUGAGACACGGUCCAAACUCCUACGGGAGGCAGCAUG
rnacentral:rRNA from 1 species